rnacentral:pre_miRNA from 1 species
AGCACCUGGAGAUCUUGCUGAAAUGCAGAUUCUGAUUCAGUCGGCUGGGCCGGGACCUGGGAUCCUGCAUUUCUAACAAGCCUCCAGAUGAUGCUGA